CCCCCCCCACCGGGGAAAGGAGCUGAUAUCAGGCACAAUAUAACGCCCAGAACAUCUAGCCACGCCACACCCACAAGGGCAUUCAGCAGUGAUUAACAUUAAAAAUAAACGCCAGUUUGAUCUAGUCAAAGAAAACAGGGCCGGCUAAUCUGGUGCCAGCCGCCGCGGUCACACCAGAGACUCAAUUUGAUUUUACUACGGCGUAAAGCGUGAUUAAAGAAUAUAACCACUGAGGUUAAACUUAAAUUAAGUUGUCAAAUGCUUGUUACAAAGAAACCCACACCCGAAAGAUACCUCAUAAAUACUUGAAUUCACUAAAACUAGGAACACAAACUGGGGAUUAGAUACCCCACUAUCUCUAGUCAUAAACCUUAACUUACUCCCACCAACGCCAGGGAACUACGAGCCAAGCUUAAAACCCAAAGGACUUGACGGUACCCCAUAUCCCCCUAGAGGAGCCUGUCCUAUAAUCGAUAAUCCACGCUAAACCCUACCACUUUUAGCCUUUUCAGUCUGUAUACUGCCGUCCCAAGUUCACCGCAUGAGCGAAUAACCCAGUGAACUCAAUGGCCUCCGCCAACACGUCAGGUCAAAGUGCAACAAAUAAAGUGGCAAGAGAUGGGCUACACUUUCUACGUUAGAAAACACCAAAAUUAUAUGAAACACAGUUAUAAGGUGGAUUUAGUAGUAAAAAGAAAUUAGAAUAUUCUCUUUAAACCGGCACUGGGGUGUGUACACACCGCCCGUCACCCUCUUCAACAACACACUUAAGUUCAUAACAACUCAUCAUAAACAAGAAGAGACAAGUCGUAACAUGGUAAGCAUACCGGAAGGUGUGCUUGGAAU
rnacentral:ncRNA from 1 species